UACGUAGGCAGCAAGCGUUGUUCGGAGUUACUGGGCGUAAAGAGUGCGUAGGCGGUCCUGUAAGUUUGGUGUGAAAUCUCCCGGCUCAACUGGGAGGGUGCGCCGAAGACUGCAGGGCUUGAGUAUGGGAGAGGUAAGCGGAAUUCCUGGUGUAGCGGUGAAAUGCGUAGAUAUCAGGAGGAACACCUGUGGCGAAGGCGGGUCUCUGGGCCGAUACUGACGCUGAGGAGCGAAAGCGUGGGGAGCAAACAGG
rnacentral:rRNA from 1 species